rnacentral:rRNA from 1 species
UCGCCAGAGUACUACAAGCGAAAGCUUAAAACUCAAAGGACUUGGCGGUGUUUCAGACCCACCUAGAGGAGCCUGUUCUAAAACCGAUAAUACUCGUUUAACCUCACCACUUCUUGUUUCCCCAGCCUAUAUACCGCCGUCGUCAGCUUACCCUGUGAAGGUCAAAAAGUAAGCAAAAUGGACAUAACCCAAAACGUCAGGCCGAGGUGUAGCGCAUGAAGUGGGAAGAAAUGGGCUACAUUUUCUAAUAAUAGAAUACUACGCACGACGCACUGAAACGUGCAUCUUAAAGGUGGAUUUAGUAGUAAAAAGCAAAUAGAGUGUCCUUUU